rfam:Nadsonia fulvescens var. elongata DSM 6958 unplaced genomic scaffold NADFTscaffold_5, whole genome shotgun sequence.
GCGGUUUUAGCUCAGUUGGGAGAGCGUCAGACUGAAGACAACUUCAGUUUAGUUAAUCUGAAGGUCCAGUGUUCGAUCCACUGAAACCGCA